AGCUUUACGUAUCGGCGAUAUCGUAGCCAAUGAAGUACAACCGAGAUGCGAUUAUUGCUGGUUGAAAUUUAUCAGUUACAUUGAUCAUUGCAGUUGCUCGAUUACAUUUCAUCAAUUAUCUACGCAAACAACACGAUGGAUGUUU